GGCUGGGCUCACAGCUGCAGCCCAGUUUUGGGCUAACCGGGAAUAGGGGCUUGAGAAGGCCCGGAGGCGAAGUCAAAGAGAAGCACCUGCGCCCGGGUGAAGAGACGCUCGCCCAUCACCGGCUGGGAGGCAGCUUUCAGCAUGAUCGGCCACUACGUGUCCAUCCUACUGCAGAGUGACAAGAAGCUCACCCAGAAACAAGUAUAUGACAGGUUAGUCGCCAACCCUCGGUGGGUUUACCUAUGAGCUAUCCCAUCCUACCCUUUCGUCGGGAAGAGUGCCAGGGGAUAAGGCACCCACAGUCCCUCUCCCAUAAGCCUGCCAGAAGAUUGAUGUGGCCCGUAUAACCUUUGACCUGUACAAGCUGAACCCACAGGACUUCAUUGGCUGCCUGAACGUGAAGGUGAUUUUUUAUGAUACGUACUCCCUUUCCUAAGAUCUCCACUGCUGUGGGGCCAAACGCAUCGUGAAGGAAGCUCUCCGCUGGGCCCUCUUCAGCAUGCAGGCCACGGGCCACGUGAUGCUUGGCACCUCCUGUUACCUGCAGCAGCUCCUUGAUGCUACAGAGGAAGGGCUGCCCCCCAAGGGCAAGACCUCAUCCUUCAUCCUGACCUGUCUGAAGAUACUUCAGUGAAAGCCUAAGCCCUUGGAAGAUUUCCCCAGUGAAGGACUAGACUAGGGGCCCCAUGCUCAACUGGUAGUGCCCACAAGCCUGGCAGCUGUAGAGCCGCUAACCUCCCCACACCUCCCUCACCACACAGGACCUGAGUGAGGAGGAAGGACUGGAAACCUGGGGUGAGUUGGCCAAAGGAGAAUCUCAGGCUCCUAGUCUGACCCAGCUCCUUCCUGCCCAAGGCAGCUUAGCCCACCCAGACUGGUCCUGAAGUCUGCCCCUCCAUUGGCAUGAAGUCUGCCCCUCAGCAAUCCGGCCUCACAGGCUGCACUUUCAUGGUGCUCUCUACCUUCUGGCCCCCAUCCUGGAACAUUCCUGAGUGAAUUCUCAAGCACAUCAGCAUGUGAUAUUAGGGAGUUUGCAAUAAAUUGUUGAUGCUGAUA